rnacentral:rRNA from 1 species
GGCUCAGAUUGAACGCUGGCGGCAGGCCUAACACAUGCAAGUCGAACGGUAACAGGAAACAGCUUGCUGUUCGCUGACGAGUGGCGGACGGGUGAGUAAUGUCUGGGAAACUGCCUGAUGGAGGGGGGAUAACUACUGGAAACGGUAGCUAAUACCGCAUAACGUCGCAAGACCAAAGAGGGGGACCUUCGGGCCUCUUGCCAUCGGAUGUGCCCAGAUGGGAUUAGCUAGUAGGUGGGGUAACGGCUCACCUAGGCGACGAUCCCUAGCUGGUCUGAGAGGAUGACCAGCCACACUGGAACUGAGACACGGUCCAGACUCCUACGGGAGGCAGCAGUGGGGAAUAUUGCACAAUGGGCGCAAGCCUGAUGCAGCCAUGCCGCGUGUAUGAAGAAGGCCUUCGGGUUGUAAAGUACUUUCAGCGGGGAGGAAGGGAGUAAAGUUAAUACCUUUGCUCAUUGACGUUACCCGCAGAAGAAGCACCGGCUAACUCCGUGCCAGCAGCUGC